rnacentral:misc_RNA from 1 species
UUCCAAAGCCCCCUCCUCCAAUGGCGGUCUUAAAGUUAUCAUUAAUACUAAUAAUCUCUGAGAAACUAAAAGUCUGAUUCUUUGAUUUUUGCGUUUCUGCUAUUGCUGUGUAAGUACCAUAGACAGAAUUUGAAAUAUAUGGAUAGAGAGAUAAAGAAAUUGAUAUGUAGUCUAUAGUUUUUGCAACUUUUAGUAAGCUAAUUAAUAUGCAAAUAGAGGAAAAAUAGAUUACCUUGCUGUCUUCUAUGUCUCCAAG